UAGGGAAUAUUAGAAAUGGACGAAAGUCUGAUCUAGCAACACCGCGUGUGCGAAGAAGGCCUUCGGGUUGUAAAGCACUUUUUGGAAGGAUUAGGAAGGAAUGUACUUCCAGAAUAAGUCUCGGCUAACUACGUGCCAGCAGCCGCGGUAACACGUAGGGGGCAAGCGUUGUUCGGAAUUACUGGGCGUAAAGGGCAUGUAGGCGGUUUAGUAAGCUUGGCGUGAAAGACCACAGCUCAACUGUGGGGUUGCGUUGAGAACUGCUGAACUUGAGUUACGGAGAGGGAGCUAGAAUUCCUGGUGUAGAGGUGAAAUUCGUAGAGAUCGGGAGGAACAUCAGUGGCGAAAGCGGCCUCCUGGACCAUUCCUGACACUCAGACGCGAAAGCUAGGGUAGCAAACG
rnacentral:rRNA from 1 species